GCCUGGGUGGCUCAGUCGGUUGAGCAUCCGACUUUAGCCCAGGUCAUGAUCUCGUGGUCCGUGGGUUCGAGCCCCGCAUCAGGCU
rnacentral:tRNA from 1 species